rnacentral:antisense_RNA from 1 species
GGGUGGGGAAAUGGUCGAAGAGAGAUGGGCCCAGAAAAGGGUCAGACCCAGGUGGAGAUGCCACUGGCUGUUAGCAGACCCCUGCGCUGGGUCUAGCCCACCCAAUCCCAUGGGGAUGCUCCUAUGCUCCUGCAGACAUCUGGGUGCUGCCACAGGGGCCCGACAGAGUUGGCAUCUGGGUGGAUCUGAGCCAAGUGGUGCUUCUGGGCCUCAGCAAGUAGCUGGUGCUGAUUCUGGGCAGCCAACUGUGGCAGCAUCUUCAGGCGCGAGCGCUGCUGGGUGAAGCUGCGUGGGCAGUCCAGAAAGUGACUGACAGUCCACAGGGACCGACCUAGGGUUUCCGGCCCCUAUCAAUGCAGACGCUGUCCUCCAAACCAUCAUGGUCCCUCUCUGGCUGGGGACGUACGCCUGCCACCGCUGGCUUGCCAGCAUGAUUACUGGUUGUGACCUGUUGAGCCAUCUUGCCAGCCUCACAAAGGACAGUACCAGCUGCUUAUGACAGGAAAGUGGAAGAACUUGGCCUGGAUAUUUCUGGAGAAUUACCGUGUGUGCUAGUCAGUCUUUUGUGUCAACCAGGCCAGGCUGGGGGGCCCAGUGAUCUCAUCAAGAGGAGCCGAGGUGUUGCUGUGAUCAUGUGCUGCUGGAAUGUGGUGAACACCUACAGUCGAUUUCACCUAAAGAUCAUCCUUGAGAAUGUGGGUGGGCCUCAUCCUAUCAGCUGAAAGCUUUAAGAGCAAAACCUGAGGUGUCCCAGAGAGGGAAUUCUGCCUUGAGACGGCGGCUUCCACUCCCACUGGAUGUCCAGCCUGCAGCCCCACGGCUGGGUGAGCCCGUCCUCUCCUCGUUUCUAUCUUCUAUUCGUUCUGUCUCUGGACCCACCGUGUGGCCCCAGACCCUCCAGCGAGGACCUCCUGUGUUUCUUCAGAGCAGCCCUUGUGUGCUGGAGGCCUGGGCUUCAGCGUGUCCCUGGGUGCCCUGGGGCAUGUUCUGUGACCUCCCAGCUCCUCGCCUCAUAGGGCCGCUGUAUCAAGUGACACAGUUUGUGUGCUGCGUACCACGCCUGGCACCCAUCUGAGGUGCUGCAAGGAGGCCAUGUUUGCCCGAUGAGAGCAGCCUAAGAUCUGCAAACUGUUGUUCGAGUGGAUGGGAACUUGAUGCUAUUUCAGGCUGAAUGACAAGACUCCGCGAUGCCAGGCUGUGAUGCUUCUCAGCCUGGGCUGCACAACGCAAAUCUACAAGGGAAGUUUUAAAAACAUUGGUACUUGCUGGAGGUGGUGGCGCGUGUCUGUAAUUGCAGUUGCUCCAGAGGCUGAGGCGGAGGAUUGCUUGAGCCCAAGAGUUUCGGUUUAUUUGCUUUUCGAGAGUCUUGCUCUGUUGCCCAGGCUGGAGUGCAGUUCCAUGAUCUCAGCUCACUGCCUCAGCCUCCCAAGUAGCUGGGAUUACAGGUGCAUGCAACCAGGCCUGGCUGAUGUUUGUAUUUUUAGUAGAGAUGGGGUUUCACCAUGAUGGUCAGGCUGGUCUUGAACUCCUGACCUCAGGUGAUCCGCCCGCCUCGGACUCCCAAAGUGCUGGGAUUAUAGGCAUGAGCCACCAUGCCCGGCCGGAUGUGAAUUAUCUUAAAAAUUUUCAGAUAAUUCUAAUGGGCCAAGGUUGAGAACCCCUGAUCUGGGCCCAUCCAAGCACCAGGCUGUCACAAACACAUGCACGCACUCACGCCCGUGGGCUUGGGGGGCUUUGGAAAUGUGCUUCUGCUUUUUUGAGAUGGGGUCUUUCUGUUGCCCAUCCUGGAGUGCAGUGGCACGGUCACAGCUCACUGCAGCCUCGACCUCCUGGCCUCAGGUGAUCCUCCCGCCUCAGCCUCCCGAGUGUCUGCUUCUGGUUUUCAUGAUGACCUGGGGGCCAGGCAUACUACACUUGCUGCUGUUCGGGGGCCAGUCCUGUACCAGGAGCCCAUCAACCACAACUCCGCCGAGAAGCACUGAUAUGCAGAGCUAAGCAGCUUUGUUUCCAUGUGGAUCCUGUGUGGGUUCUCUUGGUCCAUCCGUAGACACCGCACUCCUGCAGAGGAUCUUCUCGGGAUGCCCCACUGUCUCCGUUUUUCCUCUUCACUGAACACUCAGUUGGGGCUCGCCAUGAUGCCUCUGUGUCUGCUGGCGUCUCCCCCAUUGGAACAGCCUUCUUGGCCCGCCACGCUGCUAGCCGCUGGGCACCAUGCUUUCUGCCUUUACCGUUCUGCCGUGAUGUUGCCAAAACAGUAAUAAAAAAAAAAAAAAAAAAAAAAAAAAAAAAAAGGAGGCUGGGCGCAGUGGCUCAUGCCUGUAUUCCCAGCAGUUCGAGAUCAGCCUGGGCAACAUGCCCCAACUGGACCCUAGGCAAAAGUGAGUGGCACUCCUCUGCCAGGACUCCAGGCCAGCCCCGGCAUCUUCUUGCUGCCGUCCCAGACAACAGAAGUUACCAGAUGAACAGACUUGGAUUUGCCAAAGGGGUGGAGAGCUAGAAAGCUUGGUUGUGCCUCUCGAUGAUUAUUAAGAUUUCAAUAUUUACAGCAAAACCACAAAGCAAAUGAUAGAAUAAAGCAAAACGAUGGAAAAUCUGAGUUCACUCAUGAGGUAUGUAUGUGAGCUCUGAGGAAAUUACAGAGGGAACGCAUGCAGCUGGACAGCUCUCCCAAUCGCAGCGUGCAAAGUAGACAUCCAUAGUAUCUUUUGAAAAAUGAAAAACACAUUACUUUGAACAACCAAGAAAAAAAAUUGCAAUUUAUUAAGAUUCAAUAAAGCGUUGUACUUUCGAAAGCA